rnacentral:rRNA from 1 species
CUACGGGUCGCUCCAGUGGGGAAUAUUGGACAAUGGGGGAAACCCUGAUCCAGCAAUGCCGCGUGUGCGAAGAAGGCCUGCGGGUUGUAAAGCACUUUCGGUUGGGAGGACUGCUUCUAGCACUAAUAUUGUUGGAAGUUGACGUUACCUUCAGAAGAAGCACCGGGUAACUCCGUGCCAGCAGCCGCGGUAAUAGCGGAGGGUGCAAGCGUUAAUCGGAACUACUGGGCGUAAAGCGCGCGUAGGCGGCUAGAUCAGUCGGGUGUGAAAGCCCCGGGCUUAACCUGGGAACUGCAUCCGAUACUGUCUAGCUUGAGUACAGGAGAGGAGAGUGGAAUUCCACAUGUAGCGGUGAAAUGCGUAGAUAUGUGGAGGAACACCAAUGGCGAAGGCAGCUCUCUGGCCUGAUACUGACGCUGAGGUGCGAAAGCGUGGGGAGCAAACAGGAUUAGAUACCCGCGUAGUC